rnacentral:rRNA from 1 species
CACGCAGGCGGUCCUGUCAGUCAGAUGUGAAAGCCCGGGGCUCAACCCCGGACGUGCAUUUGAAACAGCAGGACUUGAGUAUGGGAGAGGAAAGGGGAAUUCCUGGUGUAGAGGUGAAAUUCGUAGAUAUCAGGAGGAACACCGGUGGCGAAGGCGCCUUUCUGGACCAAUACUGACGCUGAGGUGCGAAGGCGUGGGUAGCGAACAGGAUUAGAUACCCUGGUAGUCC